UACUCCUCACAAGUGUGAAAAACUAAAAAGGCUUACAGAGAUAACCAACAAGAGGGAGAUUUAGUACUCUGUGGUACAAUGCGAUGAAAGAGGGUUACUGUCGUAGACACCAAAUUUUUGCGGAAUGAACACAGUGGCUCCGUGUAACAUGUUAUCUUGUUUCUGCGGAGGACAUGAGGAUACGUAGAUCGCUUCGGCGUCGGUCGCAAUCAAAGAGCAAGACAUGAUGUAGAUUGCAAGGGACCUGAUUUCUUGGAUUCAAUUCAAGCCUGACCUAAAAAAAGAUGCGGUUUGCAGGCGUGUGCGUGGCAUCACGGAAUCGGGGAAGAGAAUACGCCGAACGCAUCAAGAGAAUAUGUCGAACGCAUCACUCCAUGUCUCCAUUAGAAGAAAAGGCAACUGGGGGUGCCUUGAACUGGGGAAGUCAGCACCGAAAGCUGGAUUCAAAAGUGGAAGGAGAACGUAGGUACACCCGGAGCUUAAUCUGGCUUUGGACUGGGCCCUUUCUCGCCGUCGCGAAUUAGCGGGGUGCCAACAUAAAAAAAAAUCGAUCAAAGAACAAAAAACGCGGGGCGUUCACGAAA
rnacentral:lncRNA from 1 species